GGUGAGUUUUAACGGCCGCGGUACUCUGACCGUGCAAAGGUAGCAUAAUCAUUUGCCCUUUAAUUGGGGGCUGGUAUGAAGGGAAUCACGAGGCCUCAGCUGUCUCUUUUUUUUUGUGGGAAUUUGCUUUUUUUGUGAAGAAGCAAGAGUGGGGAAAAGGGACAAGAAGACCCUAUUAAGCUUGACUUGUUGAUGCUACAUUUUGUGAUUUCUUGUAAAAGAUGAGUGUAGAAGCAGAAGUUUGGUUGGGGUGACGAGAAGAGAUGGGAUCUUUUUUUUUUUUGUAAACUGAGUGUUUAAGAUUGGGCCAAAAGUUUUGAAAGAAAGAAUAAGUUACUAUAGGGAUAACAGCGUAAUUUUUUCUGAGAGUUCUUAUCGAAGAAAAAGAUUGCGACCUCGAUGUUGACUUGUUGUUUCCUUUGGGUGUAGUAGCUUU
rnacentral:rRNA from 1 species